GUUCAAAAAAAGCAGAGAAAAGAAUUAGAAAGGAGCGUGAAGCUAUAAUUGCUGCGACAAUGGAUGAAAGAAGAAAUGCAUCAUUCAGAAUUUUAGAUGAGUGUUCUACUUCUCCACAUGUUGAAUCACAUGAUAUGGAAGGACUUGUAGACUCCACUCAAGUACCAAAGAAGAAAACUAGGGGGGCAUCAAAGUUAAAGAUGCAUGCAAGGAAAACAGAAGUGUGAUGAAAUUGACUUCAAUGAAAGGAAUCAGCCUGUGGGACCUGAGUCAGUUAAACUAUCGACUUUAGAAGGGAUCUUGGCAUGAGUGAUGGUGCUAAUAACCACAGAGAGAUGGCCUGAUAUUCCAGAAGAGGAUCCUAUUGCAAAACGGUCACUGGCAUCACCACAAAGAAAUGUUUUUGAAAAUAAGGAUGUUGCAAUGGCAAAUGAUGCCCUCCAAACUGUAGUCAAGGAAAGCGGAAUGAAAGAAUCUGCAGUCUCAGAGUUACAGAAAAGGUUAGAAAUUUCCGUCUCACUUUCUAGCCCCGAGACUCAAAUCAUAGACGAAUUGGAAGACACAGAAUUUCUUGAACUAGCAUCACGGUUGAUUGGAGAAAAUGUUGCUGGCAAUGAGCAGAUUUCACAUAGUCAGCUGAGGCAGUUCGUGACCAUUGGAGAAAAUCCACUCCACAAUCAAUAAAACUGAAGGAGCUCAGCCCCCUACUUCGUGACUAGGAAUGCUUGAUUGCACGCCAUCAUAUUUGUUAAUUUGGAAGAGCUUUUGCUGCACAUUCUCAUUUGCUUCUUAUUUGGAUGGCACCUGCUGCAGGGAGCACUCGAACAUUGUUCUUGUCCACUACCGUGAAGUAAAGGUUACAAAUUUAUUCUAUUAUUUCUUUGUUUCUUCAUUGAAGAAAUUCACAAUUGAUAAUUUGUAUACUGUAUCAGAUGAUUCUUGAGCCAAUAUAUAUUUUAAAUAAUGCUGGCUAUUUUAGAAUAACAUCGCUUUCUAGCUUUCCCACCUCUUUUGUUUCAAGGUUUCUUGUGUAUAUAUAACUUCCACAUAUUGGAAUCUUGCUACAAAAUAUAAUCUAAUGUGUUUUUUUGCCCAACUUUUCACAUCCGUGCUAGUUUCUUUUUGGACUAAUGGUCAUUACAAUGUUCAUGUUACUCGUAAGAUUCCCGACUUAGUGGCACUUCUAUGAUUUGGAAAGCUCCAUCAUGGGUUUUAGUACGUUACAUUGUUAUGUUUCUUGUUGGUGCUUAAUUGAUAUUGUUUUGGCCAUGGCUAUUCCAGAGUACUUAACGUUACACUUUUAUGUUUCUUGUUUU